rnacentral:lncRNA from 1 species
CCCCAGCAAAGCAGAUAGAAGCAGCCACACUGGGACAGACAAGCUGGGUGGCCCGGAGCUCAGCCAUUAGGCUCUGGUGGGGGUAGAUGGAAGGCGGAGACUUUUCCCCACCUACAAUCUGAGGAUCUGCUCUGCACACAGCUCAAGUGCAGUAGAGCCUGUUCGUAGCAUGGUAAGUUAGAGACCAGAGGGCUACAGAGACCAAAGGCCUACCUAGUGACACCUGUCCACCAGCCACAUCUCAUACCUUUGUAAAGGCCCCAAGGCCCAGGGACUAUGUUCAAACAGGAGCCUGUGGCGGACACUUCAGGUUCAAGCAUAACCUGUAUGCCUAACUGUAAAUUGUUAUUUUGAGAGGAUCCCAGUUGUCUCUGCUUCCCUGCAUAGUCUAUCUAAAACAGGGGUUCGCAGCUGGACCUUAGACAGAGGAGGGGGCGCUGGGGAGGGAACACAUAGCUGCAUCACCACCCAGUGGUAGCCUGGGCUAAAACGUUGGCUCUAGCAAAGAAAAUGAGUCCUGGUUUGCAGACAAGAGCUGCUCUGCCCUCUCUCCAGAACUGAUACUCUUGCUCCUCGGUUUGGGCUGAAGCCAAAUGAGCUCCUGCUCUUUCUUUGUUUAUCAGCUGUGUUACCAAGAUGGCAAGAGCCGCCCACUCAAUAAAAGCAAAGCAAACUCCCACAAACUCACAAGCAGCUCUGCUUGUCCGGGGCCCUGAUUUUAUUUCCUAAUUAACGAGUCGUUCUCAGCCAGUCUGAUGAUUUGCUUGUCAUCUUAUUUGGAUUUGUGGGCAAACAAAUCAUCCCCAGGCCUUGGGCAACAGCUCCACCGAGGGGAGGAGGGAGCCCUGGGAUGCCCUCAUCUUGCCUCCCUGCUUGUCUUGCCUCUCUACAGGAAGCUAACAGGCUUGCAGGGCUGUCUGGGGUUGAGCUGUCAAGGCCAGGGUGUCUGGGAUUAGCCUGGGAAGGACCUUGUAUCUGCAACUCUUCAGCUGUUGUUUCCUGUUCUGUGGAUCGGUGCCAAGGCUCUGGAUGUGGAGAGCU